CUCGUGUCGUGACGAUGUUGGUUAAGUCCCGCAACGAGCGCAACCCCUGCUGCCAGUUGCCAACGGGUGAAGCCGGGCACUCUGGCGGGACUGCCAUCGACAAGAUGGAGGAAGUGGGGAUGACGUCAAGUCAUCAUGGCCCUUAUGUCCAGGGCGACACACGUGCUACAAUGGCCGGCACAGCGGGAAGCGAGGCAGUGAUGCCAAGCGGAUCCCUUAAAGCCGGUCUCAGUUCGGAUUGAAGUCUGCAACUCGACUUCAUGAAGCUGGAAUCGCUAGUAAUCGCAGAUCAGCCAAGCUGCGGUGAAUACGUUCCCGGGCCUU
rnacentral:rRNA from 1 species